rnacentral:rRNA from 1 species
CGAUGAAGCCCAGCUUGCUGGGUGGAUUAGUGGCGAACGGGUGAGUAACACGUGAGUAACCUGCCCUUAACUCUGGGAUAAGCCUGGGAAACUGGGUCUAAUACCGGAUAGGAGCGUCCACCGCAUGGUGGGUGUUGGAAAGAUUUAUCGGUUUUGGAUGGACUCGCGGCCUAUCAGCUUGUUGGUGAGGUAAUGGCUCACCAAGGCGACGACGGGUAGCCGGCCUGAGAGGGUGACCGGCCACACUGGGACUGAGACACGGCCCAGACUCCUACGGGAGGCAGCAGUGGGGAAUAUUGCACAAUGGGCGCAAGCCUGAUGCAGCGACGCCGCGUGAGGGAUGACGGCCUUCGGGUUGUAAACCUCUUUCAGUAGGGAAGAAGCGAAAGUGACGGUACCUGCAGAAGAAGCACCGGCUAACUACGUGCCAGCAGCCGCGGUAAUACGUAGGGUGCGAGCGUUAUCCGGAAUUAUUGGGCGUAAAGAGCUCGUAGGCGGUUUGUCGCGUCUGUCGUGAAAGUCCGGGGCUUAACCCCGGAUCUGCGGUGGGUACGGGCAGACUAGAGUGCAGUAGGGGAGACUGGAAUUCCUGGUGUAGCGGUGGAAUGCGCAGAUAUCAGGAGGAACACCGAUGGCGAAGGCAGGUCUCUGGGCUGUAACUGACGCUGAGGAGCGAAAGCAUGGGGAGCGAACAGGAUUAGAUACCCUGGUAGUCCAUGCCGUAAACGUUGGGCACUAGGUGUGGGGACCAUUCCACGGUUUCCGCGCCGCAGCUAACGCAUUAAGUGCCCCGCCUGGGGAGUACGGCCGCAAGGCUAAAACUCAAAGGAAUUGACGGGGGCCCGCACAAGCGGCGGAGCAUGCGGAUUAAUUCGAUGCAACGCGAAGAACCUUACCAAGGCUUGACAUGUUCUCGAUCGCCGUAGAGAUACGGUUUCCCCUUUGGGGCGGGUUCACAGGUGGUGCAUGGUUGUCGUCAGCUCGUGUCGUGAGAUGUUGGGUUAAGUCCCGCAACGAGCGCAACCCUCGUUCCAUGUUGCCAGCACGUAAUGGUGGGGACUCAUGGGAGACUGCCGGGGUCAACUCGGAGGAAGGUGAGGACGACGUCAAAUCAUCAUGCCCCUUAUGUCUUGGGCUUCACGCAUGCUACAAUGGCCGGUACAAUGGGUUGCGAUACUGUGAGGUGGAGCUAAUCCCAAAAAGCCGGUCUCAGUUCGGAUUGGGGUCUGCAACUCGACCCCAUGAAGUCGGAGUCGCUAGU